rnacentral:rRNA from 1 species
AUUGAACGCUGGCGGCAUGCCUUACACAUGCAAGUCGAACGGUAACGGGCCUUCGGGUGCCGACGAGUGGCGAACAGAUGAAUAAUACAUAGGAACGUGACCGAUAGUGGGGGAUAACGAGGCGAAAGCUUUGCUAAUACCGCAUACGAUCUACGGAUGAAAGCAGGGGACCGCAAGGCCUUGCGCGGACGGAGCGGCCGAUGGCAGAUUAGGUAGUUGGUGGGAUAAAAGCUUACCAAGCCGACGAUCUGUAGCUGGUCUGAGAGGAUGAUCAGCCACACUGGGACUGAGACACGGCCCAGACUCCUACGGGAGGCAGCAGUGGGGAAUUUUGGACAAAGGGCGCAAGCCUGAUCCAGCCAUGCCGCGUGCAGGAUGAAGGCCUUCGGGUUGUAAACUGCUUUUGUACGGAACGAAAAGCCUUCUUUUAAUACAGGAGGGUCAUGACGGUACCGUAAGAAUAAGCACCGGCUAACUACGUG